AUUGAACGCUGGCGGCAUGCUUUACACAUGCAAGUCGAACGGUAACAGGCCGCAAGGUGCUGACGAGUGGCGAACGGGUGAGUAAUGCAUCGGAACGUGCCCAGUCGUGGGGGAUAACGCAGCGAAAGCUGUGCUAAUACCGCAUACGAUCUGUGGAUGAAAGCGGGGGACCGAAAGGCCUCGCGCGAUUGGAGCGGCCGAUGUCAGAUUAGGUAGUUGGUGGGGUAAAGGCUCCCCAAGCCAACGAUCUGUAGCUGGUCUGAGAGGACGACCAGCCACACUGGGACUGAGACACGGCCCAGACUCCUACGGGAGGCAGCAGUGGGGAAUUUUGGACAAUGGGCGCAAGCCUGAUCCAGCAAUGCCGCGUGCAGGAAGAAGGCCUUCGGGUUGUAAACUGCUUUUGUACGGAGCGAAAAGGCUCUCUCUAAUACAGGGGGCUCAUGACGGUACCGUAAGAAUAAGCACCGGCUAACUACGUGCCAGCCGCCGCAGUAAUAC
rnacentral:rRNA from 1 species